GUCGACUCUGAUACUCACCGUAGGGCUAAUGAGAAUGGGAUUCAUUACCCUGGGAGUCACACGUGUAGCUCUUUAUGCCUUAAACUUAUGAGUAAGGAAAAUAACGAUUCGGGGUGACGCCCGAAUCCUCACUGCUAAUGUGAGACGAAUUUUUGAGCGGGUAAAGGUCGCCCCUAAGGUGACCCGCCUACUUUGCGGGAUGCCUGGGUGUUGCGAUCUGCCCGUCCCCCUUUUUUUAAACACUAAAAGAAUAGACCAGCGGACUCGGAUAGGACGUGAACUUGACCCAUGACUUGUCUUCGAAGAAAAAAGUUUUUGGCCCGCGGAAGGUUUUUUGUGCUUGUCACCGAGCUGUUCCCCGCGGAGCCCGCCUUUUCCUUAUUCCCGUGUUAGUGUUUUGAAAGCUUGCCUGCGUUUUCUGUGUAUGACCCGUGGGACUCCGUGUUCAGGGACCAGAAUAAGGAGACCUAAUGUGAGUCCAGUGCUCUGCAGAGUCCCCAGCACACAGUAGGUGUGCAGAAGAGAGUCCCAGGCCAAGCCCUUUCCUGCCCUGCUCCAGGAUGCAGGCCAGGCCAGGAUAGAGAACGUUCUUGGCUGCGCAGGGACACUGUCUUCACCUACCUCGAGCACUUAACUUGCAUGUUUCUGUCUG